rnacentral:snoRNA from 1 species
GAGCAGUGAUGAAGAGAAAGUCAUGCACCACUCUGAUUAUUCAGUGCUGAUAAGACUCUAAACCCAUUUAAUCUGAGCUC